rnacentral:rRNA from 1 species
AAUAAGCUAAUUAAGAGCGUAAGGUGGAUGCCUUGGCUCUCAGAGGCGAUGAAGGACGUGAUAAGCUGCGAUAAGCUACGGGGAUUGGCACACACAAUUUGAUCCGUAGAUUUCCGAAUGGGGAAACCCACUAUAUUGAAGAUAUAGUAUCCGUUAAGGAAGCAAACCCAGGGAACUGAAACAUCUAAGUACCUGGAGGAAUAGAAAACAAAAGUGAUUCCGCUAGUAGUGGCGAGCGAACGCGGAUCAGCCCAAACCAAAAUUGUUUCGGCAAUUUUGGGGGUGUAGGACCACGACAUUGAAUGUUUAAUGAAUUAGAAUUCUUUGG